rnacentral:lncRNA from 1 species
UUGUUUGGAAGCAGGUUUAUUUAUUAUAUACUUGCAAUUGAAUAUAAGAUACAGACAUAUAUAUGUGUUAUGUAUUUCUAGAAAUGCACAUAACAUAUAUUUGCCUAUUGUUUAAUGUUUUUUCCAGAUAUUUAUUACAGAAGGGCAUGGAGGGAUACCUACUUAUUCUUCAUUAUGAGAACAAUUAAAGGCAUUUAUUAGAUAGGAAAUUAACAGAUCAUCUGCUUCUAUAACUUUAUUAGCUACAUUAAAUAGGCAGUGAGCAAUAAUUUAAAAACUCACCAUUAUAUAAAAUAAUAAAUAACAAAGUAAAAGUUAAUGUUAUAAAAAUAAACUGAUAGUAAGGAAAAUCUAAAUGGGCAUGAUCCCAUUUUAGAAGACCAAAUGAUUAAUAGGGUUGUCAUGUUAUAAUAGACAAUUGUCUAAUUAUUUCUGUGUUUUUAUUUAGUGGGUAGCAGAAGUUGUUCAGAAGAGCAGAAAUAUGUAGAAAACAUCUCUAAAUUUUUGGCAAUUUGAAAUAGCAAUUCUGAGGCACACAGCUCAUCUACAAAAAUCUUUUGCAGAAGCAGCACGCUUAGUUUUAGGGUGAGGAAAAUCUGCCGAAAAAUAAAAUGCAGUUGGUUAUCUUAUGCAUAAUAAGAAAAAGAAAAGGAUGAUCUGCCACAAACUGUGGGCCUCCAUGUCCAGUUCUCCCUGUCAUAACACCUCCUGUGCCAGCGGCUGCUUCAGUGCCCUCCUCAUUCACAUCCACCAUGGCUUGGUGGAACACUUCAGAAAGAAACAGGUCAUUCCUCUCCGACAUCCCUGAGAAAUUGGCCCGUCCCUUGUUGAAGGCGUCCUCCAUGCCCAUGCUUCUCAGAAUGGAUCUGAGUUCAUAAUGCUCUUCUAAUUUGAACUGGGGUAUGUAUACCUCAACUUCAUCUUCAGCCAUUUUGUCUUUGCUGGUCCACUUGUUGAGUUUGUCAUAGGUUAUUUCACUUUCCAGCUGC